UACGGAAGGGGCAAGCGUUGUUCGGAAUCAUUGGGCGUAAAGGGCGCGUAGGUGGUUCUGUAUGUCUAUCGUGAAAGCAUACAGCUCAACUGUAUUUUGUCGGUAGAAACUGCAGGACUUGAGGCUGGGAGGGGCUGGUGGAAUUCCCUGUGUAGCGGUGAAAUGCGUAGAGAUGGGGGAGAACACCCGUGGCUAAGGCGGCUCUCUAGUACGGUACUGACGCUGAGACGCGAAAGCGUGGGGAGCGAACAGG
rnacentral:rRNA from 1 species